rnacentral:rRNA from 1 species
GUGGGGAAUUUUGGACAAUGGGCGCAAGCCUGAUCCAGCCAUUCCGCGUGCAGGAUGAAGGCCUUCGGGUUGUAAACUGCUUUUGUACGGAACGAAAAGGUUCUCUCUAAUACAGGGGGCUGAUGACGGUACCGUAAGAAUAAGCACCGGCUAACUACGUGCCAGCAGCCGCGGUAAUACGUAGGGUGCAAGCGUUAAUCGGAAUUACUGGGCGUAAAGCGUGCGCAGGCGGUGAUGUAAGACAGAUGUGAAAUCCCCGGGCUCAACCUGGGAACUGCAUUUGUGACUGCAUUGCUGGAGUGCGGCAGAGGGGGAUGGAAUUCCGCGUGUAGCAGUGAAAUGCGUAGAUAUGCGGAGGAACACCGAUGGCGAAGGCAAUCCCCUGGGCCUGCACUGACGCUCAUGCACGAAAGCGUGGGGAGCAAACAGGAUUAGAUACCCCGGUAGUCC